AAAGAUCAAAUACAAGCCAUCAAGAAACACACCCAGCAUUAGUGUCUGCUGUUCCCACCUAUGAACUGGAAACACUGGUGAUCACCCAGACCUCCUGUUUUCAUUGCAAACUUUACCUUGUGUACUUCUGUUUAGCUCUGAAUUCAGAGCUGAGCUUUAUUUAUUUUAGUCUUCACUUGAAAUAGGUGGUUCUUGUGUUUUGUGGUUGCUUUUUUAAUGCAGGCACGUAGAUGAAAUGGAUUGUUAGGCUCAGUUGUAGUUAGAUCUGAUCAGUUCAGAUCAGUUGAAGUGGUCACGGUAUGAAUUUUCUUUUCUUUAUAAAGAAUGAAGGAUUCUAGUUUCAACAAACAGCUAGUAGAGUGAAAUAUUUUUAAUAAAUGUACCUUCUUGCCAUCACAGAACAAAAGCACUUCCAUUAAAUUCAAAUGCAGAAUCCCAACAGUUUUAAAUUUAGUUUCAAUGCUCUGCAACUGUGAGAAGCAAAAGGAAAAAUGAUUCUUUUCACUAAGCAUAAGCUUAGAGCACAGAUAAGUAACAUUUAACUUCUCUUAAAGUCUGUGGGCAACUUACAGUGUUACUUUGCUGGGGUGCUUUUACUUUUUCAGUGAGUCUAGCUGUCCACAAUGAACAUAUUUCUUACACACUACCUCUGUAGAAAAACAUGAAAAAAUCUUUCCUGUUCUCCCCAGCAGCUUAGUUCCCCUGCUCUUGCCAUGGUGAGACAAGCCAUGUCCUUUCUCCAUGGACAGGAGUAAGACCUACACAAGGUACUAAACUGCAAGGAAAAGGGAAGCUACACAGACUCUCUCCUCUAUCUGUCUAAUAAGAAAGCUUAAGUCUUUCAGCACCGAUUCAGACAUGCUCAUUUUAUUACCAGUUUCUUUAGUUCAAAAACACCUUCUGACAAAAAAGCCGAUGCACUAUGCUGUGAUGCCUCCCCAGCUUAUUUAUGUUGGACACUGUCAAGUGAUGGUUGCCACAGGGACUUACAUUGCUCAUGAUGCCUUAUGCACAUGGCAAAUACCUUGACAUUUACUGACUUCCACCUCCAUUCUAAGAUCCUGACUGCCCACACUGCUCUAUGCAUUUACACUUGUUUCUGUAGAAGGAGAAUUAAUUCAUGGUCACAACUCAUCAUACAGUCAAGGCUGCUAUGAGGAAUUGUGGUGGAGACAGAAGUAGCUGCUUAGGAAUCAGGAAAUGCUUACAGCUGAUCUGCAACAAAAGGAUGGAUGUGUUUGUGCAUGUCCAGUGAGUUUUUGUGAGGCGUACACCAAAAACUCAAAAGACUUUUUUUAGUCUCAGCAGUUUGAGGAUGUUAGUUUUCUGGAGGACCUAGUAUAUUUGCUGUAAGCUCUUGCACCUUCACUGGAAGAAUGGAAUAGGUGAAUUUUUGACAUUGUGCCCCUCUACUUGAAAUGUUUCAGUCUCUGCGGUUAAAGGGAUACCAAAAUCCAUACUCUUCCAUAAUCUAACUAAAAAUCCAUCUAAUUUGAGAAGCCACAUGAUUCUAAUAUCAAAAUAGAUUGUAGGUAAGGAUCUUUCAGACCAUCUCUACAUAUCAUCAAGGAAAAAGAGCAAAAGCCCAUUUUUUAAAUCUUCUUUUGCAAGUCACCCUUAAGGCCGACUAGGUGGGCCCAGAGGCCUCUAUCAUUAUAGUUAAUCUUGGAGUAACAGCUUGAGAGACCAACCUGACCAAAAAUCAGCCUGCUAAGCCUGAAUUUAUUAAAUGACAAAAUGUGUAAUCUUUAGUAGUCUGCUUAACACACUCAUAUUUAUACCUGCUUAUUUACAGCUCACAUCUGUGCAGAACUUGUCACUUAUGCUCAUUUUGUUAGCAAAACAACAGACCAAGCGUAUCAUCUGUGACUGGCACAGAGACUUAACAGAAAGUUAAAGUUUUUUUUAACCUUGUGUAAUACAAAGUUCAACAGGUUCUUGACAUUAGUAUUAAGGAUUAUAGCUGUCUUGUUCACUCAUACUUUUAGACCAACAAGUCAAGGUUCUCUUCUCUGGCUUCUGCUAUGUUUCAGCUGGCAACCCUCCAAGUAAGCAGGAAAAUCACAUCUAGAUGUACACUAUGCAACCUUCACAUUCAUAGAGGAUUCUUCCUUAUCUGCAGAGAUAAACUGCUAAUAUUGUCACACAGGUUACAACAUGCAUGCAUGGCUGCUUACAGAUGCUAUGCUACCUUUUUUUGCAGGUGGGCACUGUUAAGCUUUGAGGGUAAUGAGGACUGCAAGCCAUGUUAAAGAGUAUGUUCGAAUUGACAAAAGAAAGUCUGAAAAAAUAAAUUUGGAUAGGCUUAAAGAAAAGUUCAACUAACUUUGGAAAGUCAGAUUUUUUAAAUGCUUGUUUUCAGCCAACAUGAGCACGAGACGUUUUGGCUCACUGGGUUAAAUGCCCAAGAUGCAAGGAGUCAAAUCCUCUUCACUUCCAGCAAAUCACCCUUGUUGCAAGCACAAUGCUAGAAAUACUGGGACAGAGCUCUAGCUUGUACUUCUGUUCCGUAAGAGCUUGUUUUAUAGGCCAUAAAGAGUUAAUAUAAGUUUUCAUUUACUGUGUCUGCCCCUGCUGCUUAAUCCCCUGCUAAACGAUUUAUUCAGAUGUGUAUGGCCAGUGAGCAGGAAAAGCAUGAGUUCUGCACAGGCAUGCCGAAGGUGGAAGAAAGGGCGUUCUCCAGUCAAAGUCAAAAGCCCCAUCGAGGCCAAACUUGUGGCCUGUUGUGCCUGCUGCCUUGUCGUGUAAUGCAGUGACCUACUUAUUUGUACAACCUCAUGGUUCUUUUUGCCCCACUUUCAUACCCUUCUUGACACCUGAACCAAGCAAUGCAUUGAACAGCAUCUCUGAGUUUAACCUUAUUAAUAUAAAUGUUAAAGAAUAGCGAACUGAAACUGUCUAGAGGUAGCCGCUUAGCACAACUUAUAUAAAACUUGCUUAGCAUGAGUAGCUAAAUUUGCCAAAGCGUUAGGCCGCACUUAGAUAAAAUAAUGAACUUUUACUUAGUCCAGUAAGAAAGGGGGCCUCAGAGCUGGUUCAAGCUAGGAAGAUAAGGAAGGUACAAGCAGUCUGCAUUCCUGCAUCUCACACUCGGAAAGGGAGGGUGUCAAGGCUUUGAAAUAAGACCAGUGCAGGGCGUUAGGACCUUGAGGGACAAAGCCUUAGCUCACUGCUGGGGCAGUGUUAACUGUUAUGAUUUAGAAUCACCUCCUCCUCCUCCUCAGGACCUUGCGACACAACAGUAAGACCUGACAAAAACUGACGUACAACCAUCAUCAGAGACCGCAAAAAACAAAAAUAAGGAGAAAAACAGCUUAGCUCAGAAUGACAAUGAGACCCAGUGAGGAGCAGGAGACCCAAGACCAAAAAAUUACUAUUGGUCUAACUACCACGUGAGGGGUGGGAAAUGUAAGUUGAAACAACUAUAAUUGCCCAGGAUUUGUUUAUGUUAGGGUCCCUCUUCGGAGGCACCCAGCUCGAGCUGUAAUUACGGCAUGCGCGUCAUUAAUAUUUAAUUAUUUAAUUUGUUUUGAUUUGGCUCUGAACUUUACUUGCGGGAACCUAGGGUCGAGCCCUGUUAUGGUGGCUGACAAGCCUAAUUUCCAUAACAAUAAAGACUAUAUAAGCUGCUGGGCUGGGCCAGAUGGGAAGUCUGUGUAGGCUAGCAUCCCAUCUCUGAAAGCAACCAGUGGUGGAUGUAAAAUAAGAGAGUAAGAACAAGGCAAGCAAAAAUAGUGGCGUUUCCCUGACACUCUCAUGGGUUCCAAAGGUUGGGGUUUUUUUGUCUUCAUUAGCCCCCACUAGAUUUUUCUUCCAUGAAUUUAUCCAACUAUCGCUUUCAGCCUGUACCUCCUCCGGUUUGUUCCUGAACCCAUCACUGCUAGAUUCAUUUGGAGAGCCCUGCAGAUAGUGGGAGAGACUGAAUAGAAAACAUUUAUUUGCUGUCUUCACGCUGCUUGUCGUUUCAUUGAUCCUUAUCGUACCCCUUAUUCAAACUGAAAAGCCUGGUUAGUCUUUCCUUGCGUACAGGUUAUACAAUACCUUUGAUCUAAUUGCCCUCUGUACCUUUUCCACUUCUGCUAUAUCCUUUUUGAAAUGGGGGAACCUGGACUACACAUGGUAUUAAAAAUGCAGGUGUGCCACUAAGGCCUAUGCUGACAUGAGUGUUUGCUGCAUUUUCAUUGCCCUCCUAAUCAUUUCUAGUAUUCUUUUUCUUGCAUAGUACAAUGUUCCAAGACAUGUUUGCAUAGUUUAUUUUAGCACCAUAUUUUCUUUCCUUAGAGGAAAAAGCUGGGUCAGAGCUCAUCACUAUAUAUGUAAUUUAAGAUUACACAUUUUUGUCAUGUAUGUCACUUCACAUGUGUUGCUCUGAAUUUCAUUUUGAUAGACUUAUCUUUCCACAUGUUUUAACGCAUUUUGAAAACAUUGGUUAGGCUUGAACGUGCUUAGGGAAGACAGUCCAGUAUUAUAUACCUCCUAAAGAAGGCAGGCAGGGACACAGGAUUCAAGCAACUUGUCUGAAGCCAGAUGGGAAAUCAGUGGCAGAGCUGGGAAUAGACUGCAGAGUCCAAAUCCCUACCUGAGUCUAACCAGCAGACUCUUCCUGUAGCAUACAGGUAGCCUGAGAUACAAAUUAUGCUUCCAGUAAAGAAAAGGCCUACCUGUUCCUGUAUGUAUAAUGGCAAUGUUUAGGAUCACAAUGAAGAUUUAAACCCUUUUGUGCUUUUCUCAUCUCCAGCACUUUGUCUGUCCCUGCUCUGGGUUUUAAGAUCCUUCCAGCCUUUCAAAACAUUCAUUUACUUGUGCUCCUGAGGAAGUCUGUUUAGGCUACAACCAGCUGCCUGGCAGAGUAUAUUUAUAAACUCUGCUUUGCUAGCAAAGCUAUUUCUUCUGUUAUGGCUCACCCAGGAAAAGGCCAAUCAGUGUUAUGUCAUUUCGUAAGGAACGUGCAGGCUCCAUACACAUAUGCAAGUAGAGGACUGUAAGCAGACCUCCCCACGUAAGGGAUUGCUGAUCAAUUAGAAACAGAGUAAAGAGUAAAUGGUAGGCAACAUAAACACAUAUCUUGAUCAGAAAGAAAGCAGAGGAAUGCUUUAUUGGAGUCUACUAUGUCUUGGGAAUAGGAAGUGUGACCUUAUUUAGGUUUAGUUUGUUUCCUUAAAAUCUUUAACAUGACAGGUUUUUUCUUCUUUUUUAAUUAAAGAAAAGCUCUGAAAAGGCUGUGGAGUCAGCAUUAGUCAAUUAAUCCAUAUAUAUAUACAUCUAGUCAACAUACAGAAGUAUGUAUGUUUGCAAUAAUGACAUGAAUAGGCAAUUCCAGUUGGCUAGCUGUUUGCUUACAUGGGAAGUCUGUUGUUCUUUCUCUUGGAAUUGGCGGUGUAGCAACUGGUGGUGUCUAAGGACACAGGUUCUGCCUACCAUCUACCAUCUGUCUACAGGAAGUUAGUAAAGUGAAUUUAUUGGAUCCAUUUUUCUUCAAAAGGAUCAGGACCAUCUGAAGACUCAGAAACAUUAAUUUAUCUAGUUAGAGAGGGCUGCAUUGGAAGACUCUCAUUCUGUGUGAGGUAUCUCUGUCCUAACUUCCAAGAUGCAAAGAAUCACCACACUCAGGAAAGCUGGAAAAAAACGGAGUUGCAAUCCCCUGGAAAAUUAAGCUUCAGGUACUUGGCUUUUCUAGUCACUGCUUAUAUGUAAUAAGGAAAAUAGAUCUUUUUCAUAUAUAACUUAUUGUUAAAUUGAUUUAGUCACCGUACUGAUGUACUAUGCAGGAAACUUUUUUUUCAGUUCUAUGUUGCUAAAUGCAAUUCCAGGUAGCUACCCAGCAGGGUUGCUAUCAGUGUGUAAACAAGUACUGAGUAUGUUGUUGCAUAUUCUUUCCUUGGUGCUGGGCUAAUUUUUGACUGUGUGUGUUGGAGGUAAAUUCUACUACAAACUGAAACACAAGCAGGAACCCUCUAAAGCUUCACACAGCACAGAUCUGGAGUGCUGGUCUCCCGUCAUCUCCAUGGCCGCAGCCAGGAUCGCUCAAGCAUGAACAGCUCUGUCUGUCAAGUCCCAUCACAAAGGCUAGCAAAACACUGCAGGACAGAGAUGAUGGCUGAUACGGGUGGGAAAGGAGCAAUGCACUAGUGCUGCGUUCCAUCUGCUAUCACCAUCAUGAGAGUCGAGAGCUGAGCAGCGGAGCAGAGCCCUGCGUUACCAGCGGCGCAGAAAGGUGCCCGCGGCCGUCCCGUUGUCUCGUGAUCAAGCCGGUCCUCACAAGGGAGCUGCUCUAACCACGGACAGCGCUUGAAAUGCCGCACGCAACACCACAGAUGCCGUGCAGCGAAGGUGCCAUUAGCCCCGGCGUCGUUAAUGGGUCCGGCUUCUGCAGGCUGGCCGGGGGCUGCUGCCACGCACUGCCUUUUCACGGGUACACGCGAUUCACGACUACUGCAGUUCUCACUUCAGGAUCUCACCACGCGGCUGGCAGAGCCAGGCCUCUGCUGCUCGCCUUUCUGACCGCCGCUCUCUCCUCGUCACAGCCAGCUGUGCGUUUUAAAAGUCUCCUCUCAUAUUCCACAUCGCUGAAGGUUUUAGCAGGUCCUGCAUCUGCCCCUUGCUCACUUCAGCCCUGUGGUUUUGAACUGCUUUUGAUAUGGCAGCGUGAGCAUCUGGGGACCCCAGAAAGACACAGAAAGGAUCCACUCAGCAUUAUCUCUGUGCACCUAUCUGCCAUCCUGAUGAACGUGUGUUAGGGAGGAUAUGAACUUCAGAACAGUUCACCUAGUGCUUUUAAAGACAACUCACGUAAAAAAAACCUGAGACAAAUAUUUAAUCCAAAUACUCGAAAUAGCGCUGAGACAGUCAGAACAGACUUUAAAAAAAUUCAAAGGUAAUUAUUGACCUGACAGCUUAUCAGUCCCUGUCCCUCCAAAGGAGGGCUGCAGAAAACUACCUAAAGACACAGCAACAGAAUUUCUGCUCCCUCCAUCAAACAAUUUUUCAAAACUAAAUAUCAGCACAGAUUAAAAUAUUUGAAGAAAAAAAAGUUCUAGGCUUUGUAACUACUGAGUGUGCCAAAUACUCAAGACAAGACUUAGAGCAGGAUUUUCAGUCAACCAGAAAGAAUAAUUAGAAGUUUUGUUUUUAAAGUUUGGUGACAUUUCCAUCAUGUUAUUUUACUUUAGAAAUCUGCAGAAACAUGAAACAGGCUAAUGGAGGUCAAGCAAGUACCUCCUUUUUCAUUCUGUUUUUAUUAUGGGAAAGAAAGAAAGCGAAGGAAGGAGACAUAGACCAGUGGAAAAUGGAGACUUUGCAAAGCUACAGGUUUGCUUCUCGUGGUGGCUCUGGGAAAGUCCCCGGUGCUGUUUCUCAUUUUCCAGUGAGAAGCAGCACGAGGAACUCCUAGGGUAUCCUCAGGGAGAGCAGGGGUAGUAUUUUAAACAGAAGACGCAGAAAUCAUCACCACCUAUAAGCGACAACAGUUUCACUUGGCAGUUUAUGUUGGAUCAAUCUUAGAAAGUUCCUUAGUCUUCUAAUGAACUGUAGUAUUUCUGUACCAAACUAGCAAGAUGAACUAGAGCCUUACUUGGGAAAUCCUGCAGCAGUGGUGCUCCCCCCCAGCCCGUUCCCUGUGCCAUCAGAUGCAACCGUACAAAUAGCCAAACACUGUCACACCGUUCCUUCCCCCCACCGGUCAAUAGACUGUUGGAACUUGUUGACCAUUUAGUUUUUGGUCCAAAAAAAGACCAUGUAGUCCUUUGGCAUUAAAAAAAAAAAAAAAAAAAGACUUCAAGAUAGCAUUCAUACCAAAAUACCCAAAUGUUUGUGCUUUUCCCCUGUGUUUUCUGGGGGAACCUGAUGUGACUGAGAGUUGAGAAUGUCUGAAGUUUUAUGCUGAAUCCUGUGCACAGCUGCAACCAGCGCUAGUGAAUUUGUCUUUGUUUGAACCACUGCCUACAAUAAAUCUGGGAUUUGUAGUCUA